rnacentral:rRNA from 1 species
GGGGUGCACCAGGCGCGAAAACUUUACAAUGCUGGCAACAGCGAUAAGGGGACCUCGAGUGCCAGGAUACAAUCUUGGCUGUCGCGAUGCCUAAAAAGCAUUGCAUAGCAAGGGCCGGGCAAGACCGGUGCCAGCCGCCGCGGUAACACCGGCGGCUCGAGUGGUAACCGCUAUUAUUGGGUCUAAAGGGUCUGUAGCCGGCCGGAUAAGUCUUUUGGGAAAUCCAGCUGCUCAACAGUUGGGCUUUCAGAAGAUACUGUUCGGCUCGAGACCGGGAGAGGUGAGAGGUACUUCAGGGGUAGGGGUGAAAUCUUGUAAUCCUUGAAGGACCACCAGUGGCGAAGGCGUCUCACCAGAACGGAUCUGACGGCAAGGGACGAAAGCUAGGGGCACGAACCGGAUUAGAUACCCGGGUGGUCCUAGCCGUAAACGAUACUCGCUAGGUGUCAGCCACGGUGCGACCGUGGUUGGUGCCGUAGGGAAGCCGUGAAGCGAGCCACCUGGGAAGUACGGCCGCAAGGCUGAAACUUAAAGGAAUUGGCGGGGGA